rnacentral:lncRNA from 1 species
CAUCUGUUGUUGUUUAGUCGUUUAGUUGUGUCCGACUCUUCGUGACCCCAUGGACCAGAGCACGCCAGGCACUCCUGUCUUCCACUGCCUCCCGCAGUUUGGUCAAACUCAUGCUGGUAGCUUCAAGAACACUGUCCAACCAUCUCGUCCUCUGUCGUCCCCUUCUCCUUGUGCCCUCAAUCUUUCCCAACAUCAGGGUCUUUUCUAGGGAGUCUUCCCUUCUCAUGAGGUGGCCAAAGUGUUGGAGCCUCAGCUUCACGAUCUGUCCUUCCAGUGAGCACUCAGGGCUGAUUUCCUUAAGAAUGGAUAGGUUUGAUCUUCUUGCAGUCCAUGGGACUCUCAAGAGUCUCCUCCAGCACCAUAAUUCAAAAGCAUCAAUUCUUCGGCCAUCAGCCUUCUUUAUGGUCCAGCUUUCACUUCCAUACAUCACUACUGGGAAAACCAUAGCUUUUACUAUACAGACCUUUGUUGGCAAGGUGAGGUCUCUACUUUUUAAGAUGCUGUCUAGGUUUGUCAUUGCUUUUCUCCCAAGAAGCAGGCGUCUUUUAAUUUCGUGGCUGCUG